UCACCCCUCAAGCCCCCGGCUUGGUGUUGGAUGGUUUGGUGACAGAGCCCUUGGGCCACGGUCACCCCUCCCAAAGACAAUGACGGCGGCCUCGUUGGACCCCCGGUACACUGAGUUCUUCACCGAACACGUACUGGAUCAAGGGCCCGCGGAGCACGGUCUGCCUCCCCUCAGGGAGAACUUUUUUCUCAA
rnacentral:misc_RNA from 1 species